AACGCACAUUGCGCCCGCCAGUAUUCUGGCGGGCAUGCCUGUUCGAGCGUCAUUUCAACCCUCAAGCCCCCGGGCUUGGUGUUGGGGAUCGGCGUGCCCUCGCGGCGCGCCGUCCCCGAAAUCUAGUGGCGGUCUCGCCGUAGCUUCCUCUGCGUAGUAGCACACCUCGCACUGGAAAGCAGCGCGGCCACGCCGUUAAACCCCCCACUUCUGAAAGGUUGACCUCGGAUCAGGUAGGAAUGCCCGCUGAACUUAA
rnacentral:misc_RNA from 1 species